GAACAUCAUCAGAUGUCGUAUCAGGGGAAAGCCUUGAGACAAAAAUCUGCUUAAGAGGUGGCACUGCAACUAAUGUGUUGCGGACAACUGAGAGGAUGGUGAUGGUUGAAUUUCUUCAACCGUCUCCAUCUCAGUCGACAACAAAAUCGAAACCGGAGCAGGAGAUUCCAAUCUUAA